rnacentral:rRNA from 1 species
UACGGAGAGUGCAAACGUUGUUCGGAUUCACUGGGCGUAAAGGGCACGUAGGCGGCUCGGCAAAUCGGUCGUGGAAUCUCGACGCUUACCGUCGAAACGGCGGCCGAAAAUACCGGGCUCGAGGGCGUGAGGGGUCACUGGAACUCCUGGUGAAGCGGUGAAAUGCGUAGAUAUCAGGAGGAACGCCGGAGGCGAAAGCGAGUGACUGGCGCGUUCCUGACGCUGAGGUGCGAAAGCUAGGGGAG